UCAGAUAUGAAAAAUAAAUCUCUCACUAAUAAUAUAUUAUCAUAUAUCUUAAUAUUAUUAGAUAUUGUAAUUAAUUAAGUUUUGAUUUUUUAGUAAUAAUUAAUAAUUAAGUUAUUUAUAAAUUGACAUAUGGAAGAAGAGUAUCUCAUAAUUAAACAUCUCAUGAAUUUCAUUUGAUUUUUUUUUUUCAAAACUAAAAAACUAUUUUAUUGAAAUUACGUACUCUUAAAUCGCAAAAAAAGAGAUUUUCUUAACGCGGUGGUCAUUUUUAUUUGUUCUCGUCAACAUCGCGGUGGUAAAAAUGGUCGUGGCUGGUGGCUGACGAUAGUUGCAUUCCGUGGUUGGUGAGACUGUGAGAUUUUUUUUUUUUUUUUGGGAUUAAAGAGUAUUUUUUUGGAGUAAAGCGUUUCAUUGUGAUGGGAGUAGGUGUAUAAUGUAUGAACGUAAUUGACUCAAUUAACGUCCCCACCAUAACACUCUUUCAUUUCUUUUAUAUUUUCUAUAAUGUUUUUGAAAUUUUGGAUAUUGUUUCAGUUUAAUAAGACAUUUCAAAGGGUUUUGUUUUCAUUUCAAUUAUCCUGUUGUGUUUUUUUUGUAUUCUUUUAUUAUAUGUUUUGUUUUACUAAUUUUUAUAAACAUGUGUAUUUUCUAUUUUGUUUCAACUAACGAAUCACCCAAAUGUGUAAUGGCAUUUUUCAACUUUGUUUCGUUUGUUUUGAGUGACAGUACAUGCACUUACAUUCAAAAUCCAACGAGACAAAUAAAACUUAAAGUUUUGUCACUUGUUUAAAUGCAUCUACACACCAAUCAUUAGGAGUCGACUGACGCAACACGCCGUUUGCAUGACAAAAGCAAUUGCUUUGUGUAAACACAGCCUCCAUUAUAUUUCGUUUGUUACCCUAAUGUCAAGUAAUUAAAAUAUAUCAACAAGAAUAUUAUAAUGAAUUUCUUUGUAAUUAUCAUAUUGUUUAGAAAGUUCAAAUUUUGCGCUAUCAUCAUCACGAGAGUUUUUCUAAUGGUCGUGAUUUUUUUUAGUUUAUAGAUCCUUAUCAAACCAAGCAUGAAUACACAUGAUUAAAUGUGUAGACUUGUAGUCGUACAAAAUCUUAAUUUUAAUGUAAAUUAAUAAUACCCGUAGAUAGGAGUGUCUUGCAUUUUUCAGGGGGUAUGAUAAAAGAUAAUAAAUGUAUCCGUCUAUUUGCUAAUAUAUAUAAAUUCAUUAUCAAUCUCUUUAUUUGGUUUAUUUUAUGAAUUAUUACUAAUCGAAAGCUAAAAUUAAAAUAGUAAUGGACGGACAAAAAGAAAAAAAAAACAAAUAAAUGGUAGAGAUGAUAUGGGUGGAAGAAUUGGUGGGUUGGUAUGGCAAGGCGCCUUAACUAAAACACCUGCAUGUGCAUGCAUUUUUUACUUCCAUUCUUAGCAUCCGAAAGUCUCCAUUUUAUUAAUACACAAAUAUCUUUACUUUUAGGUUAAUUUCGUUUAGAAGUUAUUUUAUUUUAUUAAUUUAACUAUCUAGGCAGUCUACCAAAUUAGCAGUAACGUUAAUUUGUUUGAAAUAAAUGUUUAUUGGACACCUAAAAAUAUUUUGUUGGCGUUAGAAAUAUAUCUCGUUUUCAGCUGUUGUGACUAUUUAGGAUAAGGUCCAAACGACGCAGGUGGAUGUCGGCCAAUGUGAAAGGAAACUUAUGCAAAUAUCCGAUUUUCGUUUAGUCGAUUGAUCGGUUUACUCUUUCUCUCUUUCUUACUCUUUUUAUACUCCUGCAAUUUAGUUAUCUCCAACUCUUUGUAAACAAUACACUUUUAUU